rnacentral:rRNA from 1 species
UACGUAGGAUGCAAGCGUUAUUCGGAAUUAUUGGGCGUAAAGCCUGUGUAGGUGGUUGCAUAAGUCAGAUGUUUAAGACCGAAGCUUAACUUCGGAAGAGCAUUUGAUACUGUGCGACUAGAGUGCCAAAGGGGAAAGGGGAACUCAUGGUGUAGCGGUGAAAUGCGUAGAUAUCAUGGGGAAUACCGAAGGCGAAAGCACCUUUCUGGUGGGUAACUGACACUGAGACAGGAAAGCUAGGGGAGCAAAUGGG